UACGAAGGGGGGCUAGCGUUGCUCGGAAUUACUGGGCGUAAAGCGCACGUAGGCGGUCUUUUAAGUCGGGGGUGAAAUCCUGGAGCUCAACUCCAGAACUGCCUUCGAUACUGGAAGACUUGAGUCCGGGAGAGGUGAGUGGAACUGCGAGUGUAGAGGUGAAAUUCGUAGAUAUUCGCAAGAACACCAGUGGCGAAGGCGGCUCACUGGCCCGGUACUGACGCUGAGGUGGCGAAAAGCGUGGGGAGCAAACAGG
rnacentral:rRNA from 1 species